CCAAAAUGGCUUGAUUUACGACCAUCGCGACCAAAAGAUGUGGCCAACAUCAGCUAUAUGUUAUCUGAAAAACUAGGUGAAGAUGUAACUUGUAGAUGUUUAACAAUUUUAACUCUUCUACCAAAAGAAGUAGCAUCACAAUGGAGAAUACAUAUAUUUGAACAAGCUAUGAGUGAGAGAGGAAGUAAAAUACAUUUUGCGGCCAUUAGAGGAUUACCAAUGUUAAUUCAAACGCUUGGUGCAAAUAGUACCCAUUUAAUUCAAGAUUUAUUACAUCCUCAACUUAAGUUUAAAGAAGCUGAAAUCCAAGCUUGCAUUGUUUAUUGUUUAAAGUAUCUACCAUGUAUAAUUGCUCGAACUACGUCUAGAAUCUG